CCUACGGGGUGCUGCAGUGAGGAAUAUUGGUCAAUGGACGAGAGUCUGAACCAGCCAAGUAGCGUGAAGGAUGACUGCCCUAUGGGUUGUAAACUUCUUUUAUAAAGGAAUAAAACGAGGCACGUGUGCCCUUUUGCAUGUACUUUAUGAAUAAGGAUCGGCUAACUCCGUGCCAGCAGCCGCGGUAAUACGGAGGAUCCGAGCGUUAUCCGGAUUUAUUGGGUUUAAAGGGAGCGUAGAUGGGUUGUUAAGUCAGUUGUGAAAGUUUGCGGCUCAACCGUAAAAUUGCAAUUGAUACUGGCAGUCUUGAGUACAGUUGAGGUAGGCGGAAUUCGUGGUGUAGCGGUGAAAUGCUUAGAUAUCACGAAGAACCCCGAUUGCGAAGGCAGCUUACUAAACUGUGACUGACAUUGAUGCUCGAAAGUGUGGGUAUCAAACAGGAUUAGAUACCCUUGUAGUC
rnacentral:rRNA from 1 species